rnacentral:piRNA from 1 species
UAACAUUGGAGGCUUUUAUGCUUGUGCUC